GUGUGCUGGGACAGUGAUUGGCAGGAGGAAGGGGAGCCUUGGCCUCACCUGCCCAGCUCAGGUGGGUGGGACAGAAUUGGGGUGACCUGGCAAGGCAUGAACAUAUUUCUGAGUUCUGGAGUGCCUUGAAACCUUUCCCUGUCAGGUUUCUCUCCCUCAUUUCCUGGGGUCCAUUGUCCCAGGUGUCUCUUCCUUUGUCCGAAGUCCAAUGGCAGAGGAUUGACUAACUCCCAAGGGGGGUUUGGAAUGAAAAGGGUUCUGUUUAAAUUAGGCAAGGAAUGCAGUAAGAAAGAUGAGCCUCCUUUUAAUGCCUGAAGUAGAGAGGAAUGAAAAUGCUGGAAAAGGUCCCAUUUUAUUUGUUGUCCACCCUGGAUUUUUCAUGGCUAAAACUGUCUAGUGAGCAAUUGAAGAGAAGGGUGAAGGGCAGGAGCCUUUGACUUGCCCAGUGCACUUAAUUGCCUUGUUCUCCUCUCUUCUAGGUCAGGACCAAGCUCUGAUCCAGCCCAGCUCUGCCAAGUGCCCUGGGCUGUGAGCAGCCCAAGGCAAGAGGCUGCAGCCCCGCCGGCCAGCGCUGGGGGCUCCUGGUGCUGCCCGUGGGCUGGGGGAUGCCCAGGACGCUGCCAAUGCCCAGGGAUCUGCUCUGGGUCCAGGCUGUCCGUGCUGGAGGGCCCUGGUGGCUGCAGUCCCUGAGCCCGCAGAGACAGAGAGAGCCCCGGCCCGAGUGGCCUUUGGCCCCUUGUCCUGAAUUUGGGGUGAGCCUGGGAGCGUGUGGAAGAUGCUGGAAUUGCCUCUCUGGGUGUGUGCUGAGCUCUGGCUGCAGGGGACUGUCAGGCCUUGGUGGCUGUGAGUUCCUGUUCUUCUCCCUGGGAAACCGGAAAGAGUUAUUCAUUGGAUUGCAGAAAUGUUUUCUGAAACCUGUCCCCUUCUUUGUGCCUUUUGCUGACACAUCUUCUCUUUCUGCCUUUGAAUUUACAGCCUCCUUGCAGCUCCCAGCGGGGAAAACCUGGGAUAACUGAGGAGGGACAGAGAUGAAGGUUUUAUCUGCAAACUUGGGGUAAUUUCUAGAGGAUACAGCAACUGUUUUUUAGGAAAGUGUGUUUAACCACAUUGGCCCCAGUUGUGUUUGCACCAGCUGGGGCCAGAGGUGC